rnacentral:lncRNA from 1 species
GCCCAUUUGAGUCACCUGCACCUGUCCUAGUCUAACAUGAAAUGAAUAUCUUUCUUUUGGACCUUAAGCCCAAUUUCUCCACCUGUCCUAGGAACUAACAAGUAAUAGUAAGUAAAAUGGCGAGGGCUUAGGCCCAAUAAUAACAAAAUACAAUUCCGAAUAAAUAAAGGUAGGCUUUGGCCCAAUCUUUUUCAACUCCCGAUUUGCUCCGCUUUUCUUUCAAUUUCGAGACCUGUUCGUCGAUUUUGAUAACUAGUAGACUCGGAUAAGAGGGGAUAUGGGCCUCCGUGGCCCAAAGGAAAAUGCGAGGAUAGAGUCCGUGAGGACCCAGACAAAUUUCACAUGCAAACACGAAAAUGAGAAUCAAUAAGUAAGAGUUAUGAAU